GGCCGCAUGGCCCAAUGGCAAGGCGCUUGACUACGAUUCCUCAUUCAUGACUUGCGAAAUGUUGGGGGUUAUCAAGAGAUUCCAGGUUCGACCCCUGGUGCGGUCA